rnacentral:rRNA from 1 species
GAAGCGGCAACAGCUCAAAUUUGAAAUCUGGCCUCUUUGGGGUCCGAGUUGUAAUUUGUAGAGGAUGUUUCGGGUACCGCCUCGGUUUAAAUUUCUUGGAACAGAAUGUCAGAGAGGGUGAGAAUCCCGUCUUGGACCGGAGGUAGGGCCCAUGUGAAACUCCUUCGACGAGACGAGUUGUUUGGGAAUGCAGCUCAUAAUGGGUGGUAAAUUUCAUCUAAAGCUAAAUAUUGGCCAGAGACCGAUAGCGCACAAGUAGAGUGAUCGAAAGAUGAAAAGAACUUUGAAAAGAGAGUUAAACAGUAUGGGAAAUUGUUGAAAGGGAAGCGCUUGCAACCAGACUUGAGCGCGGCGGUUCCCCCUUCCUUUUGGGUGGGUUACUCCGCCGUGUCCAGGCCAACAU